UGACAGUACUCCUACGGGGAGGCAGCAGUGGGGGAAUAUUGCACAAUGGGCGCAAGCCUGAUGCAGCCAUGCCGCGUGUGUGAAGAAGGCCUUCGGGUUGUAAAGCACUUUCAGUCGUGAGGAAGGUGGUAGUGUUAAUAGCACUAUCAUUUGACGUUAGCGACAGAAGAAGCACCGGCUAACUCCGUGCCAGCAGCCGCGGUAAUACGGAGGGUGCGAGCGUUAAUCGGAAUUACUGGGCGUAAAGCGCAUGCAGGUGGUUUGUUAAGUCAGAUGUGAAAGCCCGGGGCUCAACCUCGGAAUAGCAUUUGAAACUGGCAGACUAGAGUACUGUAGAGGGGGGUAGGAAUUUCAGGUGUAGCGGUGAAAUGCGUAGAGAUCUGAAGGAAUACCGGUGGCGAAGGCGGCCCCCUGGACAGAUACUGACACUCAGAUGCGAAAGCGUGGGGAGCAAACAGGAUUAGAUACCCUGGUAG
rnacentral:rRNA from 1 species